UGUCUAAAAAUACGUGUUCUGCUACGAAGCUCCACUUCUCACAGUCUUUACCGUGUUUCCAUGUGUAUUGUUGUAUCCUAACAUUAGCUCCAGUUUAGGAGCAGGAUUGAUUUAAUAAAGACCGGCGCAGAAUAGGUUAAAGAGCGGGGGGGUUCCGAUUCCUCCUCUCUUGUUCGCCAUGAUGAACAAAUGAACUCUCGGGGAAUGAAAUUUAAAUUUCACAAAGGAGAGAAAGUCCUCUGCUUCGAACCAGAUCCAACAAAGGCCAAAGUGCUUUACGAUGCUAAGGUUGUAGAUGUUGUCAGUGGAAAAGAUGAAAAGGGUAGGAAAGUCCCAGAGUAUCUAAUUCACUUUAAUGGUUGGAACAGAAGUUGGGAUAGAUGGGCAGCAGAGGGUCAUGUCCUUCGUGACACGGAUGAAAACCGCACAUUACAACGUAAACUGGCCAGAAAAGCUGUGGCUCGCAUGAGGAGAAAGGGAAGAAGGAAGCGACGCUGUCGUCUGCCUGGUGUUGACUCUGUGUUAAAAACUCUUCCUGAAGAGGAAAAAGAGGAAAAUGAUGACAAUUCUUUAAUUUCGUCUUCUGAAGACAGUGAUGAGGACGAUUCUGAUGACGACGAAUCAUUAAAAAGUGAGGAGAGUGAUCUUGAAGAAACUGCAGAAAUGAACGAGGAUCAGUUCAUACUUGGACAGGUUAGUCCAUCCAUUGCCCAGCUGAUCCAUCUGGAUCAGUCCCUCAGAAAUCCAUGGCAAGGGCCUAUUAAAGAAGAUCAAGACAUUCACCCUAAAAAGGACAUGGAGGAUAAAGCAAUAAACAUAGAAAUCCCUGAGGUCUUGAAGAAGAAGCUGGAAGAUGAUUGUUACUACAUUAACAAGAGAAAAAAGCUGGUGAAACUUCCUUGCCAGAUGAACAUUGUCAACAUCUUGGAGUCCUACGUGAAACAUUUUGCGAUUAAUGCAGCUUUUUCAGCAAAUGAAAGAUGCCGGCAUCAUCUGACUACCUCGCAGAUUAAUCUAAAUCCUCAUUAUGUCCCACCAGAAAAGAAUGUUGAACUUUGUAAAGAAAUGGUGGAUGGUUUGCGGAUUACCUUUGACUUCACACUUCCAAUGAUCCUGCUGUACCCUUAUGAACAUGCCCAGUUCAAGAAGGUGACGUCUUCCAAGUUCUUUCUACCAAUCAAAGACAACUCUGCCAGUUCCAGCAGGAGCCUUGAAGAGCUGUCUCCUAGUCCCCCUCCUCUGCACCCCUCCACACCCCAGUCCACGGAUAGCCAGCCCACAGUGAGCGAAGUCUCCACGCCCAAGCGCAAGAAAGCAGAGCCCGAAGCCCAGCAGCCACUACGGAGAUCGACGAGACACGCAUCUGGGGGAGACCGGCUCUCCGAAAGCAGUGCCUCCCCACAGCCCAAGCGCCGUCAUGCAGAGACCCCCGCUCCACUGCCAAAGCUGUUCCUGCAUUUAGACAAGAAAACUCCUGUUCACAGCGGCUCCUCUUCUCCUCUUACACUGACUCCAAGCAAAGAGGGAAGCUCAAUGUUAUCGGGACGGGAAGGGAGGAGAAAUAAUGAACUAAAUGAGGUGCUGUGUUGGAAACUGACCCCUGACAAUUAUCCACAGAGUGAUCAGCCCCCUCCUCCAUCAUACAUGUAUGGAUCACAACAUCUGCUCCGCCUCUUUGUUAAGCUUCCAGAAAUCCUGGGAAAGAUGCACAUUCCUGACAAAAAUCUGAAGGCUUUAGUGAAGCAUCUGGAGUUGUUCCUGAGGUCCUGAGUACCUCCUCAACCUGCUGACCCACUAUGUCCCUGCCCGCAAGCUGAGGUCCUCUGACUCUGGCCUGCUUGCUAUCCCCCACACUUGGAGAACGCUGGUUUAGCUUCAUGACUACGACUCUCUGGAACUCUCUCCCAGCUUUGGUUUUUGGCAGAGUUCCAUGAGGAUUUCUUUCCCGAAUCUGCGUAUGUAUCUGCGUCAGAGGCCCACUACAGCAUGAAACACCCACGGGCGAUCUACUGAUUCAGAAAUCAAUAAUGGAAACAGAUCGGAACUUUUCACUUAAUGUAUGAUACAUUACAGCUUUUUUGCCCUGUCGCUAACAGCUGAAGCAUUAGAGGACUUUGAAUGACCUUCAUAAAGCCAAGAGGCCUAGUACCUUCAUAAGAUACUGCUGCUUGGAAGUGAUAUACAGUGGUGGUGAAGACUGGAACCACAUUUGUGCUUUUAUCGUUUCUCUGUUGCACUGCAUCCCUUUUUUUGUCUGAGCCUUGCAUUGACAUUUUAUUGCUAAAUGACUGCAUUCCUCUACAUGGUGUAGCUGUUCAGUUUUAUUUUUGGGCAGAAAAUGUGGACAAGCGUUACUGUAAAUAUGCAGUUCAUUGUUUCAUUAUUUAAUGUUUUCGGUGGCAGUUUUACCUUGUUUUAAAUACAGCUCCAUGGAGUAGAACCACUUGUUCGUAAUGGUUUAAUGUAAAGAAACUAUUUCAUUUUCAAUAGGAACUUGACUAUAAAACUUGUUCCAGAACUAUGUUACUUUCUUAUAUAAACUCGCCUUCACAUUG